AUUAAUAUUUGAUCCAAUAUUGUAAUAUAUAGAAUACGAUAAUUUUUUAUUCUAAUAUGUCAAUGUGAAAUCACAAGAAAUGAUGCAAUUUUUCACCAUUAAUUCGUUACUACUUUGAAUCAAUUAAAUCCCCUUUUGUGUGUGUUUGUUUUCUUUUGAACUUUGGGAUUUCGUGACGUUUUUUUUUUCUAAUGUGUAACUGCAAGAGUUUAUUUUGUUUUUCUUUUACACGUACAUUUUACAUGUAAGUUUGGAGGAAUCAAUGCACCAAUUUGAUGUGUGUGCAACCAUCUCCACUCUAAACAGAAUGCAUCGUAUCUCGAAGAUCAACUAGUCACAUCCUAUCAAUAUUAGUUACACAUAUUCGACAUAAGGUUUUAUUUUUUAAAAUAUAGAACUUUAUUUUGUAAACUAAAAAAUUGGAAAAAUCUUCUUUCCAAACAUUAAAAUGGACACUUACAAUAGAAAAGUCACAACUACGUUAGAUCACAAAAAGUAAUAUAAAUUUUUUUCGACAAUUUAAGAAUAAAAUAGAUGUAUAUAAUUUUUUUCUCCACGAGCGCAUUUAAUAUAGUAGAGAUUUCAACGCUGAAAAUUUAGUUUACAUCAUGUCAAGGUAAUAUUACUCUGUAUUUUUUCCCCUAAAAGAAGGUGUCCAUAAAUUUGUAACUUUUUGCUACUAAACCCAACUUUAAUUAGUGUUUAUGUAAUGUUUUAAAAUAUUUAUAAAAUAUAGUACAACUUUAGUAAUUUUUCAUCGGCAGGAAAUUAUCUAUUAAUAUAAGUCUAUUAGUGUCUAUUAGGAUAUUAUAUUUUCAAAUCUCGUCUUUUAUUUAGUUAUUUUGAUUAGUUGGAAUUAUCUAUUAAUUGAUUUUUUUUAUCUAAUUUUAAAUUUUAACCAAAGUAAUCAAUUCCGAUCACCAUCCCACUGUAAUGUUAUUAUUUUAAAAAUUAAACUUCAUUUUAUUUAUUGAUUAAAAUCUUCAAGUACAUAGCCUUCAAAGAAGAUUGGAUAUAACCAAAAUAAUGCUGCAUAUAUCAUUUAGAGUCUUGCCAUUCUUCAAAAGCAACGAUGUAUCCUUAGGCGGCUGUGCGAACUUAUCCUGACAGUCACCAAUAUUAGUCAUGGCACCAGAAGUUACAAUAUUGACACCAGUAAAGUCCCCAAGUGCCAAGUCCUUUUGGGCAUUUUCUAUGUCACCAAUAGCUUCAUCAUAGCUCUCAGCACAAGACGAAUAUCGUUGCUUAAGUUGAGGAUUGGUGGCGGUUUUUGCUAGUGAGUUGGCUAGAGUCAAAGAUUUUUCAGCAUUUGUACGAGCAAGGUUUAAGGUGUAUACAGCCAAGCCUUUUAGAUUUGUAGUGCCUGCAGAUUUCAACACACUUGAACAAAAUUGUGGAUUUGAGGUUUUUGGACAGAUGGUGGAAACGACGUCAUUAGAUGAUGCCACAUUUGAAAUGAUAGUGAACGAAAGAACUCCAACGAGAGAGAUAAUAAUGAGACAAGAGUUAUUGGCCAUUUUAAUUUUUCUUUGUUGUUUCCCGUCCUUAUUGAUAUGAUUCAUUUGAUAAGUACAUAUAUAUAUAGAUGAAAUUUAGAGAAAUUGUUUGUUUUUCUUAUGGAGGAGAAAUGGCAGUUAUGAUUACAUAACUAAAUAACCCAUUCUAGUCUUUUGUUUGAUACUUUUAUCUUGAAAUAGCCCACCCAAAUCAAUUCAUGAAUAAUCACAUUAAUUGUCUUUUUUUUUUUUUUUACAUAAUUACAACUAAGAUGGGCUUUAUUUUUAUUUUUAUUCAAAAGAUACGACUAAGAUGUUAAAUUUUGAAUUUUCUCAUCAAUCCAUUAGAGGUGACCUAUGCUCCAAUCUUUUCUUACCAACAAUUUAGGCCUUAUAAGUGUAUAGAAAAUUGAACAGUGAAUAGGAUAGUUAGGCUUUGUAAAACUUAAAAGUUACAUAGUCCAAACUCUGAUGUCUCUUCCGUUCCUGUCCUGCUUUGAUUUUACCCCAUUCUUUUCUCAAAUACAUUUUUCUACAUUGUCGUUUCUUCUUCUCUAACUCAUUUUUUCCAAUUAUAUAACAUGUCCGUAUGUACCAGAAAUACAGUGAGCGGAAUUCAUGGAAGUUUUUCCCUGUUUCAAGUUCUAAGGGGGGACACGAAACUUAUGUGACAGAAAUCAAAGGAUAACGUGUCUACAGUAAAUCGAAAUAAGAGUCUGGUUUUCAUUGAGUUCAACGUGUUCCUCAAACAGAAACACAGGGCCGUAUGCAUACUUUCUACGACUACAAUAGUCAUCAUGCUAGAGUUAUGAGAUUAAAGUGAGGGAAUGACAAGAGAAGAUCAUGAACCAACGAAAAUUACAGAUGUGUUGAAAUUUGUUGUCAGAAUCUGUUUGAAUGAUGAACUUCAUGCAUACAAUUGUUGUGGUUGUCACAACUGGAAUCUAUUAAACAAAAUCAAAUACUUGAUAAUAACUACCUCUCCACACUGUUAUGUUUCUUGUUUUUUCGUUUUCAAUAAUUUGAUCGGUUUUAGACUUUUGGUUUAUUUUCAAUUAGAAGUAAAUGAAUGAAGGAAAAAGAUAACAGAAAAAGUUGAUUUUACUUUUACUAUCAUUUUCCUAUGCUUUUUAGUUUAUGGGGAUAGAUAUUUGUUGGUGUUCCUUUUCUUAAGUUAGAAGAAAAAAAGUUGGGGCAUAACUUUACAUGGACAAUCAAGUCAUUUUUUUUUCUUAA